AUUGAACGCUGGCGGCAGGCCUAACACAUGCAAGUCGAGCGGAUGAAGGGAGCUUGCUCCUGGAUUCAGCGGCGGACGGGUGAGUAAUGCAUAGGAAUCUGCCUGGUAGUGGGGGAUAACGUCCGGAAACGGGCGCUAAUACCGCAUACGUCCUGAGGGAGAAAGUGGGGGAUCUUCGGACCUCACGCUAUCAGAUGAGCCUAGGUCGGAUUAGCUAGUUGGUGGGGUAAAGGCCUACCAAGGCGACGAUCCGUAACUGGUCUGAGAGGAUGAUCAGUCACACUGGAACUGAGACACGGUCCAGACUCCUACGGGAGGCAGCAGUGGGGAAUAUUGGACAAUGGGCGAAAGCCUGAUCCAGCCAUGCCGCGUGUGUGAAGAAGGUCUUCGGAUUGUAAAGCACUUUAAGUUGGGAGGAAGGGCAGUAAGUUAAUACCUUGCUGUUUUGACGUUACCAACAGAAUAAGCACCGGCUAACUUCGUG
rnacentral:rRNA from 1 species